GUCCAUCAAGAGCUGGGAAUUUCUCUCAGGCUUCAUGAGCCUCUACCGUGAGGAAGAGUGCCUGUUACUGAUCUCAUCACCAGAGUAUUCGAACAAACAGAAGAGACGGACGGCCUGUAACUGCCUGGUGGACUACUCCAAGCCCACGUACUUUGCGGCUACGGUGACCUGAGUCAGGAAAAAAAAUCCAAAGUUACGGACAGUGUUUGUGAAAGAAAACAAGAAGGUGGAGGAAUCCAAGAGGUCGGGGGCAGGUGCUGCCGAAGUGUACGUUCCCCAGCUCUGGUACUACCAGGACCUGACCUUCCUCCUGGAGAAAAGGACGGCGAAAGCAUCCCUGGUUGUGAUGGCCGAGUCCGAGUGGGCAAGUCUGGAUGUGGAGGAGGCCGAAGUGGCGGCAGAUUAAUGGUGUUGGAGGUGAGCCUCUCAUAGAAUCGUGUAUUCCUCAAGGAACCACCAUCGGAACAACGACUAUUUUUCCCAACAUCCAGACUUAAGCCGUACACCUGAUAUCCCAGAUUCAUCUUUGGAGGAAACAACGUCUCCGCAGCACCAGGUGGCAGGAAGAAGCCACGAAAAACCAAAUUUGUAGAAGACCCUUUACUAACGCAGGCCCGUUUAUAGCUGCUCCAUAAACUGUCCUAGCAGAAACCAGUCCUGCCUGUCUAGCACUUGAGCUGUUUGUAUACUUGGAGAGGAGUCAUACUGCCAGUUUCUUGUUGUAGUUAAACAGUGCAUCAUCUGUGAUCUGAGCGCAGGUAGCAGUCAGUCGUUUGUCAUCUGUUCUCUGCUAAUUAGUCUUUUUUUUUUUCACUUCUCUUUGCUCAGACCACAGGCGCUGCUGAUUCGUUCAUUUAAAUUGGGAAGAAAACAUUGAAAUGUAAUUGACAAGGCACAGUACAUAUGCGCUGCAUACUCUUCAUUCAUGUGACACGCAUAGGAAAAAUGUAACGCAGGGAUACUUCCUCCACUUUCCAAUCUCCUCCUCAACCCAGCUACCCUUCCCAAGCCAGCCACACAUCCACCGUCCCCUCAAUUCUGUCCUCCUUGAUGGCACAGGGGGAUCAGGAGGAGAUAAGUCUCUGUGAAAUGUAGGGUGAUUCUCAUUUACUGCUGCCCUUGUUAUACAUAACAACAGA